CAACCUGAUUAUAAAAAUAGAUUACGAAGAUUGAAGAGUUACAAAAAUAUUGUGGAGGUUAUUAGCCGUGACAUAAGGCGUAGUUGUAUGGCUGAAGACAUAAAAAAGAAAAUUAAUGGCCUCCGCACAAGUUACUCCUACGAGAAAGCGAAAAUGCAUAAAAGCAAAAGUGGAGCCAGUGUACAGGCGACAUAUACUCCGCAAGUGUACUGGUUCCACAUGCUGAAGUUUCUGGACCAGGCGACAGAGGCGGACAAGUAUCUGUAACAUCGAAAGCAGUGAAAGUGAACGUGCUAGACCAACACUCGAAGAAAUGUUUGACCAUGAAAUGCAAGAGCCUUCUGUCGCAUGUAGCGAGCCACAGCCACAGCCCAGCAUCAAGAGCGGCCUCCCACAAAAAGAAGGAAAUGCACAACAGACGUCAUGGUGGAGGCCAGCAGGACACUGAAGGCUGUGGCUGAUUUGCCAAACUCUGCCUGUCCAAGAAGACCGCUACGGUACCCUUGGCA